rnacentral:rRNA from 1 species
UGCCUCAGUAGCGGCGAGUGAGGCGGCAAAAGCUCAAAUUUGAAAUCUGGCGUCUUUGGCGUCCGAGUUGUAAUUUGAAGAAGGUAUCUUUGGGCCCGGCUCUUGUCUAUGUUCCUUGGAACAGGACGUCACAGAGGGUGAGAAUCCCGUGCGAUGAGAUGACCCGGGUCUGUGUAAAGUUCCUUCGACGAGUCGAGUUGUUUGGGAAUGCAGCUCUAAGUGGGUGGUAAAUUCCAUCUAAAGCUAAAUAUUGGCGAGAGACCGAUAGCGAACAAGUACAGUGAUGGAAAGAUGAAAAGAACUUUGAAAAGAGAGUGAAAAAGUACGUGAAAUUGUUGAAAGGGAAGGGCUUGAGAUCAGACUUGGUAUUUUGCAUGCUGCUCUCUCGGGGGCGGCCGCUGCGGUUUACCGGGCCAGCAUCGGUUUGGAGCGGCAGGAUAAUGGCGGAGGAAUGUGGCACGGCUUCUGCUGUGUGUUAUAGCCUCUGACGAUGCUGCCAGCCUAGACCGAGGACUGCGGUU